rnacentral:rRNA from 1 species
CAGCCGCCACGGUAAUACGAAGGGUGCAAGCGUUAAUCGGAAUUACUGGGCGUAAAGCGUGCGCAGGCGGUUAUAUAAGACAGAUGUGAAAUCCCCGGGCUCAACCUGGGACCUGCAUUUGUGACUGUAUAGCUAGAGCACGGUAGAGGGGGAUGGAAUUCCGCGUGUAGCAGUGAAAUGCAUAGAUAUGCGGAGGAACACCGAUGGCGAAGGCAAUCCCCUGGACCUGUACUGACGCUCAUGCACGAAAGCGUGGGGAGCAAACAGGAUUAGAUACCCCCGUAGUCCCUGUCUCUUAUAC